AAGUAAUUAAAAAAGCAAUUACACCACUAAAAAGGAUAUUAAAUGGAGUACGUUUUCUGAAAUUUGCUGACCUGAGAAAUUUGGAAAAGUAAUUUAGAAUCAACAUAGUAAGUAUUUCAAAAAAGUUUUUUUGUUUUUUCAAAGUUCUGGCUACUAAAACGCUUAUUUCCCGAACGUUUACAAGUUUAGUAAGAGGUUUGUGAUCUGUGAAAAUUGUGAAAGACCUUCUAUCGUGUGUCUGGAAUGUCGGAUUGCCUUAUCAGCUAAUAAUAAUUCACGGUAAUACGCGCUAAAUUUCUGAUGAAUGGGAGAAAGUUUUUGGCGGAGAAAGCUAAGGGUUGCCAUUUUGAGAUGUAGAGUGAGAUGCACCAAGAUUGUGACAUCUGUCAUGAUUAUUAGAGGCUAACUUGGGUUUUGGCCUUUUGGAGUUCUGGAGUCCAGGCAGUUUUGCCUCUCCUUUGGGAGAGGAAAUUCGUUCAUUUCCUUUACCUUCAGCAGAUGUUAUACGUUUUUCUGAGAUUGUAUAUUUUAAAAAUGAGACAGCUGUCUGUCCAAAAUGAAAUUUCGAUAGUGUACUUUAUCUUGUUUCCUUUGAAUGGAACAAUAAUAUCAUCGAGGUAUGUAAAGCAAAAGUCGAAAUCCUUUGUUAUGGUAGUCCAUAAAUCAUUGAAAGGGCGGUGCUGCGCAAGGCAAACGUCAUAACAGGAAACUCAUAAAGCCCAAAUGGACUUAUAAUAGCUGUUUUCUCUACAUCUUUGCGUAAUCAAUGAAAUGCUCGCAACAGGUCAAUGGUCUACAUUAUCGCAGGGUCAAUACUUCAGGAGGUGAUCCAACAAGUCAAAUUGAACUUAAAAGUUACUUUAACCAUUCACAACUUUAUUUCAUAAAGUUCCAUCACAUCUACUGCAAAUUUGAUUACACCAAUGAAACGAAAAACCCUCUGAGGAUUCAUAUUUUCAUUGUAACGUUAAGUAAACAAAAUAUAAAAUCAUUUAGCUGAUAGUUUUAAGAGUUGCCAAAGUUCUUUUUUAAGGUUUAAGUCAGAUUUUCUUGAUUCUGCAAAUACUGACGGAUAUGGCGCUUAUAGAAAAAAGUUGGCCUUAUAAGCUGUGACUGUAUGUAGCAGAUUCGAGGUUGAGGAUAUUGUGUCAAAUACCAGUAAACCCUGCUGGACCGAAGGGAUUUUAAACCAAAAUGAUCGAUGGUGAUGGCGUGGGAAUUGGGAUUAACCUUUUGAGGAAGAGGCGUUCAAAAUAUUUAACUAUGACUGGGAGAAGGGUGAGGAUAUACGUAUGAGGAUUCGCUGGGGGAUUUGUUUGCUUUGGGAAUUGGAAGUUAUUAGAGAAGUUUCCAUUGGAUGAGGUGUUGUGCUGAUUAUUGUAUUGACAGUGAUUGUGAUAAUACUCCUGCUUUUGAGGUAGGUUUUUUAGAUUUUUGAUAGUUAAAAGGACAUGUCCUGGGGAUUUCUUAGUUGGGAGGUUAGAAAUGAUUGGGAAGCGGUGAGAGAGGAAGGUCUAAAUGCUUUGUUACAUACACAUCUGGACGAGGAACGAAAAUUGCAGAAAGGUAAUAGGAAAGGAUCUCUUUGCUUGACCCGGUCCAGGUCCGUUGGGGCGUUUUAUUGGGGAGAAUAGUGGAUAUGUUUCGUGAUUUUAAUAGUGGUUAACCGUAGGGAGGUGCGUGGAUAUGGAUUCGAGGUGGAACUGGGAUUUCAGGAGGUAAGUAGGGAUAGGGAUAAAAUAAUCGGCCAGAAAGCUUUCUGCAUCUAGACCUAAGUAGAUCUACUGUGCUCCUUUGCUUUUUUUAUAACUCACUGGCCAGUUUCAGGUUGUUAAUGCCACUGUUUGGCUUGCCAGUGCCUCCUUGGUGAAGGAUCUUGCUUGCGGCUUUUCCUCUCUUAGUUGCGAUAAUCUGCACCUUCUCAAAAACAAAAAUUGUGUUUUAUGGCCUCCUCUUUUUUCUGGCAGUAUCUAUAUCGGGUGCAUGUGCCUUCUUAGAAAGUAGUGCCCUGGCUUGAGUCCAGCUUGAAUCUUGGUUCUGUUGCCGUUACUUUCCAGUCCUUCGUACAUUUUCCAUGAAUCUCUUCGCCUCAGUAGGUUUCAGGGCCAAGAGAAUUCAUAUUGGCUCCUUUUUUGGCCAACGUGUUUAUCUUAUUGCACCUAUGUCCCGAAUGCCCACGAACAUGGCUCAGGUUAAUUGAUUUCCCUAAGGGCUGUCGCCUCCCUGACAGAGAAAAUAUUCUUCUGGAAUGUUUUCCUAGCUGUUUAAUUUGUCCGACGAAGUGUUCAAUUGAUAUAAUUUCAGACUUACUAAUAGCGUAUUUACCUAAGUUUAAAAUCAGUUAGGUCUUGGAUUCAUCCCGAAGACUAGAGCUCCCGUGCCUUUAUCAAUUUUUGGGCCGUCGAUAUACCAAGUUCUUCAGAGGUGUUCCUUUACUCUUUCCUUUCUGGUAUUACCUCGUACUUGGUCAAGUUAUAUUUUUGAGUAGUGGCAUCUGCCGGUAUCUUCUCCCUCAGUUUCCAUUCAUUGACAUGGCCUAUGCUUGCAGAUUGUCCAUUUAUGAGCCUAUGACCGCUGCUCUGGUUUCUCCGUGGAUUAAAAUAUGAAGGAGGUAAAUAAGUUGGGCUGAGUGUUGUUUAUAUUAAUGGCGUUGCCAGCGAGAUUUUGCUCUGUUUUUGGCUGUAAGGAAAUGAAUGGGAAGAGGGAACUCGGGUGGGGUUUGUGGAGUUUUGGGCUCAUUGCUGCUAGUGAGAAGGCUACUUAUUAGGUAUUACUUACUUACAUAUUUUGCCUUUCAAAUAGUUCAUUAAUGUUUGUCUGCAUGUUUUUUAAAUAAUAAUUAUCAACGUUCUGUAGAAACCUGCUCAAUCGCGCAUUCUCACUUUGAUGAAACAUCCAUAAUCGUCGACCCAGAGAUAAGCCGUCGAUAAUGUUCAACGAACCGAAUUCAUGUAUGAACAAAGGGCAAACCUCAGAACACGGAAAAACUACGAAUUUUUAAGCUCUCGCUGAAAUCACUGCGGAAAAUAAUUGUCGAACGGAAUUUAUACCUCCCUUAUCUUUCCUACAUAUUGCAAUUUUUCAAUUUUUAAUAUUCAUCUUAU
rnacentral:lncRNA from 1 species